CAAUCCAGGAAAUUUGUUAGUGCAAGGGAGUACUACUGCUUCAAGCUGCAGGUCAGGAAGAAACUUUUAAACAUCAUCUUGUUCAGGGGGCGCCUUUUCCAACAGUGGGCUGUUGACAUGUAUAUCAAGAUUGAGUCUAUGAGGCUUGACUGGUACUCGAAGCCAGAAAAUCAGAAGGUUAUACGCGCCGACCUCUACCAGGGUCUUGUUGAUACCGUUGUUGCUGGCGAGUCACGCGGUGAUCGGAUUGGCAAAAGAAUCGUGCUUCCACGUACAUUUCCUGGUGGUGAUCGCGACAUGCAGCGGAGAUUCCUGGAUGCAAUGGCAAUUGUCCAGCGGUGGGGCAAACCAGAUUAUUUUAUUACGAUGACUUGCAAUCCUAUUGGGUGGAGAUAA
rnacentral:rRNA from 1 species